rnacentral:misc_RNA from 1 species
GAAAGAAGUAGAAUUGCAUUAAAUAAUCUUGAAUGAUUCCCUAGUUACAAGUCCCCAAUCCUAUAUAUCAGCUAACAACAUUCUGUUACAAUUAACAACUACUAAGUACUAACAGCCAUAUAACAUACACUAAAUCUCUUGCUUGUUACCUUCACAUGUCACAACAUUACCAUCUCCUUUGAAAUCAUUCUUGUCCUCAAG